ensembl:lncRNA
GAGAUUAUCAUCUUUACCAUCUUCAUGAUGCCAUCCAUCAGCGUCACUCAGGUUUUCCUGCUGUUUUCCUUCCUCCACCUCAUCACAUCACUUCCUGUCAGGGACCAGGAUGAAGUGGAAGAAUUCCUGACUCAAAUCAGACCCCUGAACGCACCAUGGUCUCUGUCAGCAAAUUCUGCAGAUGCUCUGGUUGAGGCCAGACUCAGGCAGCUGAUGUCUUCAGGUCUAGACCGCAGGAGGCAGCUGGGAGACAUCGAGUUCUCAAACAGAUACUCAGAGUUUCUGCGCUCUAAAGCCAAACACACCUCAAUCUGUGCUUUUCUGCGCCGCAUGCAAGGCAUAAAGAAGAGGUGCGACAUGUGACAGGCACAUUAUAAGAACAGUGAAACAUAUUCUAACACUAACGAUGGAAAAACUUGUGACUCCAUACACAGCAGUCCCUCUAAGCUGACUUUUCGCUUUUUAUGCAUCAAAAUCAGACAAGAGUUAUCUCCAACUUUUUAAAGAUAGGUCUCAAAUAAAAGUAGUAAGCAUAUAAGAGACGAACAAAUAAAGGCAGAAACAGGAACAGUUUGAAGUAAUAUGAGCACUGAAUAAUUCUCCACAGCACAAAUUCCAACAACAGGUUUGUGUUGCACUCAGUGCUCUGCUGUCGUUCUUCUGUAACACUGUUUUCAUUCAGGUAUUAGUGUCACCUCACUUCCAAUUUAAUUAACUUUCGGAUCUUUUACUGACACAGUCUUUCCCUGACUGGCUUUUAUUGUGAAGUGCUGAGUUUCAUUGACUACAGUUAAUCAGCAAUGGAAGAAAACAGCUGAGUAGAAUUCGCAAAAAACUAUGAAAUAAAGUGUUUGGGUUUUUGUUUUUCACAAUCUACCUGGUUGGAUUUUCAACUUAGUGGCAAGUUGAACGUUUUGAGUGAAAUUUCACACUUCCUGUAGUAUUUUCAUAUUAAAAGCACUAUGGCGUAGCAGAGUAAAGUGUAUGACAUGGUUUGAAUGAAUUGGAAGCGUUGUUCUUAAUAAAACAUUGAGAUGUAAAAUUAGAUACAUACUAAUAUAUAAAACUGGAGAUAGUUACGGUGUGCCGCUACUAUAAAGUAAUAAAGGUUUUAGUUCAGCAGACAUCAUUAGAGAGUUUAUAUUUUCUUCAUUAAUGGCUCUUUGUGUUUUUAUCCGCACGUGUCAGCAUGUUUUUUAUGCCGUGUUUGUUCACAGUGCGGUGGGAGCAGACACGGAGAAAGUGAAUCUGCUGCUGAAACAGUACAUGUGUCCAUCUGUCUACAACAACUGGCCCACCGACCUGUAGAAGACUCAGUGAGAUGAGGAGAUCCAAUGUGAUGUUAGUUGGAAAAUGUUGGAAACUGAUGAUCUGAAUAAAUGUGUGUAAAUGCAGCUGUUAUCUUAUUUAGUGUGGG